ACCGAUUUCUGCAUGUCUGGAAAACGCUCGGAUUUAGUUCCUGUCUCCGCCUCCCAAAAUGUCUAGUGUAUUCGGAUUGGUCAGAUGACUACUCAACUGUUAUUGGUCAACUGGGUUCGGCGUGUGUUUGAAAGGUUACGCCCCUGACUACGCAUGGGUUUUCCGGUUCUGACUGAGAGUCACAGGCAACGUAAACAAGCGCUAUAUUUCUCUAUAAACGAUGGUGUCUGUACUGCCUUACCACUUCAAGCUCGAUCCAGAGAGUUCAGACGGCCGUUACGAUAUAAACGAUCUCCGUCAAUGAACGCGAUUGGAUUUAACUUUUUUAGGUGUCCUUAGCUCUGCCAGAAUGCUAAACGAAGACGAAAAUGUGUUGCAAAGACAUCCAAAAGGUUUUAAGGAGAAUGCAACAUGUUCCAGGGCCUCUUACCUGCGUGAUUCAUCAUCCAGGUUUUGCACAAAUUGUCUAAAUCCCUACACACAGAACAUUUAUUGUACCGACUAUAAGCCUUUGAGGUGCAGGACUAGAAUACGCUUGGAGCUUCCUGAUCAGAUCGGUCACAAUUUUGGCUUUCGACGACCCCUGCACUGAAGAUGGCAUGCAAUCACGUCCUCCUUUGAAGGUCUCUCAAACUGUGAUGCCAGGUCCAUUGGAAUCGGGGUUUCCUUCAGCUUAUCUUCAAAUACCUCAUCAAACACAAGCCUGAUCACAUCAUCCACAUAACUGUAGAAAUAUUGCAGUCAAUAAAUCUUUUGUUUUGAUCAUUUAUUUCCCUGCUUCAUACAUUAAGUUUUUAAUUAUGAAUGUAUUUGAAAUAAAACAUUACUGCUUA